GGGGGUGACCAGGUUUCGACGGGUAUGGUGAGGGGUUGUUGGCGUGCCGGGGAUGUCUGGAGCCCCGUUAACAAACCGGGCAAACCACCAAAUGGCGAAUUCAAUUUUGCCAUGGCUGCCUAAUUAAGGCUUAGCCCGUCGCACCUGAACCACAGUCUCCGGGGUCGGGCUGCGGCGACGGAAAAGGAGACUCGGUUCUUCGAUGUCUAUAAGGAGAGCCUAAAUAUAUAGACUGGCCCUGCCGGUCAAACCGGCUUGCCGGUGGCCUGUCGUUCGGCGGCUGUCAGGGCGAGAAAUUGUAGAACGACUACGCACGUAGAUGGCGACUUGACAUCAUAUUCGGACGGGGGUUCGAUUCCCCCCACCUCCACCA
rnacentral:tmRNA from 1 species